rnacentral:lncRNA from 13 species
GGAGGGGUAAGGAAGAGAAGUCAAUCAACAGGAAGCAGAUGAUCAGCUAGGCAAUCAUGAUAGGCAAGAAGUCUGAUGUCUCAUUGUCCAGAUGUGGUAAUCUGGUAAGUUUCAGUUCCUUAAUACUAUCUGAGAGGCUUGAUUGUUGGUUUCUUGAGACAGGAGCUCAGAUAAGACAAAUAUAACUUUCUAAAGUUUCAAGACUGGGAGGGUCCAUUUCUGUGUUUAUUCACUCUUGUACUUUUUCUUGCUUUUGAUUAAUUUAACCCUGGCUUUGUCUUGACUUAAUUUCAUACUCUCCAACUGGAGGUGGAUGCAGACAUUAGAGGCAGAGACUGGAGACAAAUGGAAAGGGAAAGCAAAUCCAGGCAGUGUUGCUGGUAACCUCGAAUCACUUUCUAUCUCUGUGAAUUUGCCCAUUCUAGAGAUCUCAUACAAGAGUUCUGUAUAUAUUCUCGGAAAUUAAGCCUCAUGUAUUCAUGACUGGAUGACCUCCUCCCUCUUGCCUUCACUGCUUGCCCAAGGCAGAAGUCCCAGGAUAUCACCUCACUGAGCAAUGGCUGGACUAUUUCUGUUCUUAACACCUUGGCCCAAAUUAUUUUAUUAGAUAUUUUAGUAAUGUAUUUGCAUUUUUGCCCCAUUAACAAGUUGUUCACAUCAUUUCUGCAAUUUUAUGUAUGUAUGUUAUAUUUUUAAAAAUUCUGUCAAAAAAAAGUAAAAAAAUAUUUCUCCAGCUAUACUUUUUUUUUCUGGUGACUUCUUUCUUCAGAUUACAUGAAUAUAGGAUAAACUAAUUUUUAAAUAUUUGUG